AKCAAUAUCCAUCAAAUUACAACAAGCGCACYCCAMAACACCUACACAAGUUGUUUGGUGCAGUACCAGCAAAGUCUACGAACAAAGAUUUACAAAACGAGAAGACUUUUGCUAGCAUCCACCCGAUGCCAUCUAAACACUCGGAAUCAAAGAUUAAAGAAGAUUAUCCUACUGAUUACAACCAACGGACGUCAGAACAACUCAAUUCGCUGUUUGGCGUACGAAGUGAAAAGGAAAUUGGUUGCCUUGUCCAUCCACUUGCACCAUCUCAAGACUCAAAAUCAAAGACAAAAGGACAUAAAGUGUUGGGAGAUUACCCCAUUGGUUACAACCAACGAACACCU